GUGGCAGGCCUCACUUCCCGAUGUCCGCAGAUACAGUUGGGUUGUGGGACAGGGGGAGAGAUAUGUGUCGCUCAUUCGAACUUACAAUACGAGCGCACAUACGGACCUAGUCGGUCCAGCUUACUUUAUAUUUUUCCGUUUUGUUUUACUCAUUAGCUUUCUUUUUUGAGGCAGGGUCUCACUAUGUAGCCCUCCAGCCUCUCCCUACCUACCAAGUGCAGGAAAUAAAGGCAAGCACCACC
rnacentral:lncRNA from 1 species